CACUGCGGCAUUGUUGGCUUUUGUAUGAAGCAAUCUUGGCUGAAUGUGAUGGCUCGGCGUGCAGGGAGGGCUCACUGCCGAAUGAGAAUCUUCCUGCCUCUCUCUUUCCUCUGGGCUCUGAGCUGCACAACUGGAGGGUCUCAUGGGCUUCUCAGCACUGCUCACACGACAUCUCCAAGACCCCCUAAAGAUGUGGAGAGAGGGAUGAAGAGGGACGAGUGAAGGUGGUGAGAGAAAGUGACGCCAGGAUUGGUUGGCUGUCUGUUCCAUAUUCAGCAGCUCUGGAUGAGGCAGUGGGCCUGCUGGGAAAACGGUGUCGUAAUCAGGAGCCGAUCUCUCUGCCUGAUCAGAUUGAGCAGCAGGCAGAGGAAAUAUGCCUGUGUGUUGGUGAUGUGAAGAUAGCAAAACCAGCCAAACCCCAGCAUCAGAUCCACUCCGUAAAGAAAAACUCACUUCAUCCUUCUUCUUAAUUGUGGUUCAUUGUGUGGUUACGUAUGACUAAUGUCAGAUACAUUUUUCCAUGAUGCAGUGGUGUACAAGGGAAAUAAUUUAAGGGGGAAUAUAUGAGGAAAUAUACUAAGUUAAAUCACCAUGUGAUCUGAAGAGUUAAACUCAUGCAAUUUGUUUGGAUGUCUGACAGUGGUAGAAUUUUUGAUGACACAAUGAUUUGUUAUUUUAAUUAUUUAAGGCACAAGCUACUGUCAGUCAAUAUUGCUAUAUUACAUUAACAUUACAUCACAUUUAUGGCAUUUCGCAGAAGCCCUUAUCCAGACUGACUUACAUAUAUCUCAUUUAUAUAACUGAGCUGUUAAGGGCCUUGCUCAAGGGCCCAGCAGUGGAAGCUUGGUGGUGCUUGGAUUUGAACUUAUGACCUUCCAGUCAGAAGGCCAAUGUCUUAACCACUAAGCUAUCACUGCCAUAUUAAUAUAAUUGGCAUAGAAUACCUUUAUGACCAUUACUAGAUUUGGGGUACUCCAGACUCGUGUCCAAUUAUGAACAAACUCGGACUUAGAAAAAUUUGUACUCGAACUUGACACGGGCUUGGAUAUUUUGGACUUGGAACAUGAAACAUGAAAAGAAAGACAGAAAAUAAAUAACAACAUAAAAUCAUGAUAACAAGAAAUUGGACUUUCUACAUGCACAUAUUUGAAACGCACGCACAGAAAGCCAUCUCAUCAUGAGAGUACCGAACUGAGUUCUCUUUAGCAGCUUAAGGCGCUCAGACAGUCAAAUAAAUUCACACACAGCAUGUCAAAAUGCAGGUCUGGCUGAGUAUUCAUGCAAACACAGUCGGUUAUGACUUAAGUGAAAGUAAACAGUUGGGGGGAAAUCUGAGGUGUGUCAAUACAGUAUAUUGGAUCUGUGCAUUAGGUCUUAAAGUGACAGCAGUCUAAUAAACCUGCUGCUGUCUCUGUCGUUAACGUUCAUCAAACAACAAAAGACAAAGAGAAAAUCACUCACUCCUUUGACUGAAUAACUUCAGUAAAUUUAAUAAGAAUCACUGUAUAUGUCAUACAGUGGAGUCUAUUUUAUUUUGCAUUUAAUUGCUUUAUUCAAUUUCCGUAGUAUUUCUACUUGAAUUGGUAGACCUACCUGAGAAAACGUAUCGUUAUCGUGAAAUAAGAUUGUAGUCGUAUCGCCCACCCCUAAACAUUAGCAAUUGGUGAUUCCAGUUUUGAAUUUCACGUAAAAUGUGAAAUGUACUUCUUAAUGUAGUAAAAAUCAUAAACCCUGCUGAUAAGGAUUUUUUUUUUCAUUUUAGGAAUUAAAAGAACAGAGCUGUGUUCAGAAAUGAGUUUGUUGUCAUUCAUAGACAGAUUAAAAACAGUACUAAAGCAUGAAGCUUGUUGUUAUGACAUGCUGAUAAAUGUAACUCUACUCUGUACUCUCUCUCUCAGCCUAUAGAUAUAACUAUGAAGGAGAUGCAUCAAGUAAUUGAAAUGUCUACUCGAACUGGAGGACACAAUAUAGUGUGAUACAAUAAAAAAACAGGUUCAUUUGUAUUUUCAUAUACUUGUAAUACAAUAAAAGUUCUAAAUAUACCUCUAUAUUCCUUUUUUUUUUCUUUGAAACCACUUUUUGAUAGGAAACUAGCUGAG